GAAACGCACAAGCAAAAAAGAAAACACCGAAAUAAAAUGCAAAUAAUACCAAAAUUAAUACAAAAUUAAUACCGACAAAUUACCAGCUGCAGCAGCAUUUUUCGCUCGUCCUGUCCCUUUGCUUGCCGAAUGCCUUUGCACUACCACACUCUUGGUGUUCCCGUCGUAGUGUGUGAGUGUGUGUCUCUCUCUGUGUGUACCUCCCACCAACAACACCACCUCCACCGCCACUACCACCACCCCGCUAGCCACAUAUGUAUGUGUCCCGCAUCCGCCCCACGCCAAACCCUCGAUCGGUGUACGUUUAUGUGCGUGUGUGUGUGUGUAGCACCCAAGUAGUUACCACCUAGAGAAAUAGAGCACGCACCCCACAAACACCAACAAAUCCACCAAUCAGCACCACCUUCAUAAACCACCGUUAAGAAGCAGCAGCAAACAACCAGAAGAAAAGCAAAAGCAAGAGAAACCACCAGCACCAGCACCACCACAGAUUGUGGCAGCCUGAAGGCAGGUCAGUGUCGUCGUGUCGGGGGCACGACAGUAGAACCAAACCCGAUCCGACCCGACCCGCAACCAAAUCAAACCGAACCGAACCGAACCGCUCCAAACCGAAUAGAACCAUCCACAACCAGUCCUGGUCUUCCUUCCGAUCUGCUCCUCCGAUAUCUGAUCCUCUGAUACCACCAAACCACAUACCAGCACCACAAUUGCACAUUACUACCAUAGAUACCCCAGGCAGUACUACUACCGCAUGGAGCGCGGCGGCACCAGCGGUGGUCAGCAGCAUCAGCAGUCGUCGCAACAUCAGCAACAGCAGCAGCAGCAAUCGCACCACCAAUCGCACCACCAGCGCCACCAGCAUGUGGUGGCCGUGCACAGCUAUGACCCCUAUCUGACGGCGGGAGGGGCGGACGAGGAGCAUACCUCGGGCACCUCGUCUUUUGACAAUCCCGCCACCAAAAAGAAACCACCCAAGCUAAAGCCAAUCCAUCGAUCCCUCUCCAUGGCCAUCGACAACUACGCCCCCGCCACGUCCUCCGUAUCGAUGGGAGAUCUCGGUCUGGACAUGGAUCUCGAUCUUGAGCUCGACAUGGAGCAUGGCAUCCUCAUCAGUGAGCAGCCGCUGAUCCAUCGCUCCGCCUCGCCGCUACCCCUUUCCAGGUCGGCAGUCGCCCUCCAUCCUCCGCAGACCCUUGCCCUCCCAGCACAACAGCAACAUCUACCCCAUCCAGCCCCCGGUAUCCAGCGCGCUGGCAGUGGUGCCCUUUCCCCAGCUCUCUCUGCCCGCCAACAACACCAUCACCACCUCCUCCAACAACAACAACAGCUACACCAUCAGCAACAACAACAACAACAACAAAAACUACACCACCAGCAACAACAACAACAACAACAACAACAACAGAUGCAUCUGCACACUUUUCAGCAUUUGGCCGCACAGGCCGCUGCUGCGAGGCAUACGCAGUCGCAAUCGCAAUCGCAAUCGCACCACCAGCAAUCGCACCGCCAACACCCCCAUUCGCAUCCGCAUUCGCAUCCGCAUCCGCUUCCGUCGAGCUCACCCACCUCCCACGCGGUGAGCCCGGUGCUCGGCCAGGGCCAGCAGCAGCACCAGCACCAGCAGCAGCACCGCCAGCAGCCGGACAUUUAUCUGGUCAGCAGCAGCAGCCUGGGCGAUGGAGCGGGCUUGGGUGUGGGUGUGGGUAUGGGUAUGGGUAUGGGCAUGGGCCGCUCGACGUUGGGAGGGAGCACAUCCCCCAUUCAGUUCAUCGAUGUGGACGAUGUGCCCAACCCGACGGUCGUCGCCGCCCAACGCCCGACGAUGCACACCCACCCGCUAAAGAAGAACAUGUUCCGGCGCUCCGACACUAUUGACGUGCAUCCGUCUACCAAUUUUCAGAUGAAGAAAACGCAUUCCUUCCACGCCCAGCAGGAUCCCGCCGCCCUGGACCAGAUACAGUUGGCCGUGGCCUCCGGAUCGGCCGCAUCCAGUCGACGCACCAGCUCGGUGCGCGGCAACUUCCUGAUGCCCGGUCCGCCAGGAGGUGCCAGCGGUGGCAAGGAAAUCUCGCGUUCCCCGUCGCCCAGUAGGCGGGGCUGCCGCUCGCAUCGCUCUUUUAACGAUCCGGGUCGCAGACCCAGCACGAAACCCGAGUCCGUGGUGGAGUCCCAGAUCCGACAUCCCUCGCUGAACGACGACCUCAUGGAGCCCAUGGACGGACGGAAUCUCUUCCCCCCCACGAACCUAUCGCUGGAAAACGAGCUCUUCGUGGAGUCCCGCUCGCGCAGCAACAGCCACACCAAAAUGGAGGAGCUGGGUCUCGCCCAGCUGACUGCCGCCGCCGUGGCCGUGCAGAGGCUGCGCAAGGCCUCUGGCUCCUUCGAGGGGGCUGUCGACGGCGGCCUGAGCAGCCACACCGCCACCCAUCCGCCCGCCACCUCGAGCAGCGUCAAGCAGAAACGUGAGCCGCAUCCCCACUCCCGCCAGCAGAGCACCCACAGCCUUGAGCUGGACGGCAGACCCUCGACAUCCGCAGCGGCGGCGGCGGCCGCAGCGGCAGCAGCAGCGGGCGGAGGCCAUCCCCUGCAGCUCCACAGCGCUGCGGCCGCGGCCAGUGCGGCGUACCACUUCAAGAGGGGGGCACAGCACGGACGCUCGCUCUACCUCUCGCCCAGCAACCUGGAGGAGCUGACCGUGCACCGGCCGGGUGUCCUGGCGGCAGCGGCCGCCUUCCAGGGCACCAACGCCAGCGCGAGCGUGAAGCAGGCCAAGGCUCUGCACAGCGCCAGCAUGCGGCUGAGAAGCUAUCGUGAGACAUUGAGCGCGUCGAAGAAGUCGAAGAGCUUCAUCGGCGACGCGGGAGUAAUGCAGGGAGCCCAGGCGGACGACGACUUUGAGCUGAGCUCACCCCACCGACGGAACAGUCGUCCGCUGUCGACGGCAGUUCCCAGUUCGAGCGUGAACCUGGACGAAAUCAAGCGCAGUCCCCGUCCCAUCUCCAUCUCUGCGUCGGCGGCGGCGGCCGCCUUCAUCGACGAGAAGCGACCGAGCUUCGAGCGGAAGUCCUCGCUGAGCUUCGACCAACACGAGCUGGCGGACGCAGCCUUCGCCGCCCAGGUGCUGCGACCCUUUCACCACAAGCUGGCAGCCGGGCGGAAAGGCUCCGUGGGCGGGGGCUCGCACAAGCUGAAGAAGAAGUCGCUGAGCGACGAGACCGACGAGGACGAGGAGGCGGAUCGCAAGCGCAAGCGCAUCGUCUGCAUCGUCCUGGCCACCGUGCUCCUGUGCCUUGUAUGCGCCAGCGUGUUCGUCGUCGUCGUCACGCUCACCUCCGGCUCGGGCCAGUCCGGAAAGAAGGCGCACUCCUUCAGCAGAGACACCCCGGUCCACUACACCGGCAUGCGGCCCUCAUGAACUCCAACGCCCACGAGGAUGCUGUCGAGAGUAACCGUCGUCGUCGCCCCCCCAAACAGUUGUUGUCCCCACCCUCUGAUGAGAUUAGACUCGAUUUCGUUUGCAAUUUGGCUUUCGCUUCCGCUUCGAUUCCGUGCUUUCAACGUUCUUCCUCCUCGUCGUCGUCCCCCCUGUUCCUGUUGGUUCCUGUUGGCAAAUUGGGUUUCCUCUGUGCCGUACCCCGGGUCCGGCUCCAGCACCGGCUAUCGCCAUGGCUCGGACACUGAUUCCCCUCAGCCGGAUUGCCUAAUUGACGUUGGGCCACUGCCCACAGUAGGAGGAGGAGGAGUAGGAGCACCAGCAGCAAGAGCAGGACAUUGAGCUGCAACAAUCGAUUUGCCUUCCGUCAGGAGAACGAGCGGAACAUUCGGGAGAACAUGGAGCGCACGCGGAUGAUGAAGAACCGAACGGAGCUGAUGUUGCAGCGGCAACAGUUGAUGCACGUUCCAUAACAACCGAGCAGGAGCAACAGCAGCAGGAGCAGGCCACAAUAAGCAGGCGGAGGGAAGGAAGUGACACCCGCCGACUGGGGCAGAUGCCACCGGAUGAGAUACCACAACAAGAUGGCUGUGUGUCAGAAGCGGCAACAAGAGUUGUGGCAGUCAAACAGGGGAAGUACUCUUUCCUUCCUUCCUCCAGAUGUCCUGCUAUCUUCCCCCACCCCCCUACACACAAAUGUUAUGCGCACAAAGGUAAAAUAAUAAAACAAAAAAAAAAAAAAAAACAAAUCAAAGGAAUGGAAUGGAGGAGCAGCACUCCGAAGUGCUCGAGAAAAACAAAAUGAAGGCAGAAACCCCCCAAGGAGAAAUCACUUGUUUUGCAUCUAAAUGAGAGGUGAGAGGAGAGAGCAGCAUCCGGUUAGAUGCCCACCAUUGUUAGACGAUCAGAGGAGUCGCGAAUUGAACUAAAGUAAACGUUAAACAUUAAACACUAAACACUAAACACUAAAGAUUAAACAUUAAACAUUACACAUUAAAGUAAAACCAAAAGUGAUCCAGUCUAGUGCUAAGUAAGAGUCAAUAGUCAAAAAACGUUGUUAGUAGAGUUGCUGCAAUGGCAUUGUAUGUACAAUAUAGUAAAUGUUCAGGUACAGUCCGAUCUGGUUUGCCCACGAAAGAUUAGUUUGUUCGAUUUGCUUUACUGAUGAUUUUCUUUUGAUGUAUUCCCCGAACGGACCAGAAAGGACUGUCUUGUUUGUAUCGUAAUUGUUGUGCUUGGGGCUUAAUCCCUCGAUGAGGUUGAGGAGCGACGCCACCACUUCCCUUAACAAGAAAAUUGAGCCAAGGUUUCGAUUGUUCAGUUCGGAUUAACAAAAUGGUUUCAAUUUUUUGUUUGCUCAAGUUUUCCCAUUUGGUUUUUCCUCCUCGAACGGGUGGCGUCGAUAGGAAAGUGGAGUUGGUCAAUAAACCUAUAGUUAUGUGUAUUUAAAACUAUGUUGUUAACUGAAACAAGUACUCCCAAGUAAAUGUUAAAGAAAGAAGUAAAGCAAAACACACGAAUCGAAACGAAACGAAAAGUUUUUGUAACUCUAAGAACAGGAAGAGGAACUAGGAAAAGGCAAAGGAAAAAUACAGUACGAGUAUUCCAGAGAUACAUUUCGAAUAAACACAAUUUGCAUAAUGAUAACAAUAAUUCUAAUACAAUGCAUAGCUGGAAAAUCCCAAGGGAGCGGAAUAUUCAAUAGUUUCAUUCGCAUUUGGAGCGAAGAAUCGGGGAGAAUAAUUAUUGAUGUAUAGCAUAACUAAAUAACUAAAUAGCUAACUAAAUAGCAGACGAGUAAAUAAAUGUUAGUAAAUUAGCGGAUCGAUGUGAAACGGUUACUUAAGUGCAAAACGAGCUUGUUGUCGAAUUAAUUUUAAAUGGCAUUACAUUAAGUGAAACUAAGCUAAAAGGUUAAAUGUUUUUUUAGGUGUUCAAUGUUGAAAUUAAUUUGUGGCCCAAGGGGCAGACUCUCCAAUUCGCAUUGCCCCGGUCAGGUAUACAUACAUACAUAUAUAUGUACAUACGAGUAUAUAGUAGUAGGUACUAUAUAUUUUCAUAUUUCCUAUGCUAACUGAGUUGCAGGUUUGACGAAAAAUUUAGCUUGAAGCAAAAUUCUAUCGGUUUCAGCUUUGGACAGCUUGCAAGACCCCCUAGACCACCCCCCCACCCCCCGUCUACCAGUUCCCUUUGAGUGUUGCGCCAGGCGGCAAACAUUUUCCAAAGGUUUUGUGACCGAAUCUGUUUCGGGCAGUCAAUUAAUUGGAUCUAAACAGAUGAAGAAAACGCAGACGGUCCGCGGGGCUUACCAUAUGUACAUACACAUACAUAUGCAUAUACGAGUAGAUACACACACAUACGGACACACACAUUGGUGUUUCAGGGGGGAGAGGUGUUCAGCUAAGGAAAUGAAAAGCUUUAAAUUAGCUAAAUACAAUUUCAGAAAUAAACAUUGAAAACGCAUUAAACCGGAUCGGUGUUGAGAGCAUUACCAGUGCGAUAGACACAAAAAACAACACACACACACAGACAGACACACCGACCCAAGCACAGAUACAGAGAUAAACAGAUUUAUAAGAUUUGCAUUUUGGUCAAGGAAUCAAUUUCACAUUUGACCAGACAUCAAAUAAUGACAAGACACAACACACAAACACACAAACACACACACACAGACGCACAAGAGAAAAAGUACGAUACUUAGUAAUGGCAUUUAGGGGGAUUCAGACAGGGAAAUGGGAAAUGGAAAAUGGCAAAUGGCAAAUCGCAAAUGGCAGCUGGUUGUACGAGUAUGUAUUUACUAGGUUUGCAAAACUAAUUUAAGCCGUGCUAAAGCAAACGCAUGAUGCAUGAUGCAUGAUCCAUGAUUCAGGAUUCAUGAAGCGAAGAGUCGCCAGAAAGGAAACCAAACAGUUAAUAGCUAAAAUAAAUUGUCUGUAAUUAUGCGUAGAGCUAUGUAAGUGUGUAAAUUGUAAGCUGAAUUAUUAUACAACAAUAAAUAAAACUAACUACAGCCGAGGCGAAUCCAGUGAGGAGUACUCGUACAUUCUGGAAAUACUCAUAACAAACGCAAACAGCAUAUUAAGUAUUACAACAAUCAAAAUUGUUUCCCGCAAAAUCAAACUUUUUAGCCUUUGAACGAGAGACUUUGGUGCCCAAAUCCAUUUUGAGCAAUUAUUUACAAUGAAAAUACGAACGCAAAGAACACACACUCACACACACCCACACACCAACACGCAAACACACACACACCCAAAUGUAAAUAGGAAAGCGGAAACGGAUGGGGAAAAACCAAUAAAUGAAUACACCGCAUAAAUAAACAUUAAAUUAAUUAACAACUGAAAUAAACAAAAAAAAACCGAAAAGAAACACAACACAUACGCGAAAAAAACUGAUAAAACUUCCAACUUGACGCAAAGGAAUCAACUUUAACUGUUAAUUGUUGCUCAAAAUAAACAUAAAAGUGGAAAUAAAUGAAAAGUAAAGCAAAUACAAUGCAUAAAUAAAUAUAAACGAAAAAAUGAAGAAAAAAAAAUAAAAUACAUUUGAACGCAUUCGACGUUUUAUUCAUCAAGCAGAAAAUGUUGAAUCAAAAGCGAAAGCGAAAACUAAAACCGAAAUCACAAUUGUGUCACAUGUGUAGUAUAUCUCAGAAUGUAUUUGUAACUGGAAAAGUAUUGAAAUGCGCAACAAGAAUUCAAAAAACAAAUGAAAAUAAACUGAAUUUACAAAUGGAAGAGA